ACGCUCGACACCUACGGGAGGUAGCAGUGGGGAAUAUUGCACAAUGGAGGAAACUCUGAUGCAGCGAUGCCGCGUGAGGGAAGAAGGUUUUCGGAUUGUAAACCUCUGUCUUUGGGGACGAUAAUGACGGUACCCAAGGAGGAAGCUCCGGCUAACUACGUGCCUGCAGCCGCGGUAAUCUGAGGCGGGCUGGCAAGGC
rnacentral:rRNA from 1 species